rnacentral:rRNA from 1 species
GACGUAUGCAGCUCGUCCUCCGGGAUGGUGGGGACACUGUUGGGACCGCCUCUGCUAAAGAGGAGGAAGGAAUGGGCAACGGUAGGUCAGCAUGCCCCGAAUUAUCCGGGCUACACGCGGGCUACAAUGGGUGGGACAAUGGGUAUCGACACCGAAAGGUGAAGGCAAUCUCCUAAACCCAUCCUUAGUUCGGAUUGUGGGCUGCAACUCGCCCACAUGAAGCUGGAAUCUGUAGUAAUCGUGUCUCAACAUGGCACGGUGAAUAUGUCCCUGCGCCUUGCACAAAAACCAGACCGUCUCUGUGCUCCUCGAACAAUUCUUAAUCCCUGCUCGUUGCACAAUAUUUUUUUUUUGUAAAAUCUAUGG